UUUUCGUUAUGGACGGCUUGGUUCGCGUCGUUUUGUGAUAACCAGCAGCUCAACUGCUGCUUGCUAGCGAUACUGGCAGACUUGAGUACUGCAAGCGGAGACUGAAUACCUUGUUGUAGCGUUGAAAAUGCGCAGAUUAUCUAUGAGGAACACCCGCUGGGCGAAGACGGGGUCUCUGUGCAGUAAACUGACGCUGAGGAACGAAAAGCGUGGGUAGCGAACAAGGAUUAGAAUACCCCUGUAGUUCUACGCCCGUAAACGAUGGGCGCUAGGUGUGGGUUCUUUUCCACGGAAUCCGUGCCGUAGCUAACGCAUUAAGCGCCCCGCCUGGGGAGUACGGCCGCAAGGCUAAAAACUCAAAAGGAAAUUGACGGGGGCCCGCACAAGCGGCGGAGCAUGUGGAUUAAUUUGAUGCAACGCGAAGAACCUUACCUGGGUUUGACAUAUACCGGAAAGCUGCAGAGAUGUGGCCCCCCUCGUGGUCGGUAUACAGGUGGUGCAUGGCUGUCGUCAGCUCGUGUCGUGAGAUGUUGGGUUAAGUCCCGCAACGAGCGCAACCCCCUAUCUUAUGUUGCCAGCACGUUAUGGUGGGGACUCGUAAGAGACUGCCGGGGUCAACUCGGAGGAAGGUGGGGAGGACGUCAAGUCAUCAUGCCCCUUAUGUCCAGGGCUUCACACAUGCUACAAUGGCCAGUACAGAGGGCUGCGAGACCGUGAGGUGGAGCGAAUCCCUUAAAGCUGGUCUCAGUUCGGAUCGGGGUGUGCAACUCGACCCCGUGAAGUCGGAGUCGCUAGUAAUCGCAGAUCAGCAACGCUGCGGUGAAUACGUUCCCGGGCCUUGUACACACCGCCCGUCACGUCAUGAAAGUCGGUAACACCCGAAGCCGGUGGCUUAACCCCUUGUGGGAGGGAGCCGUCGAAGGUGGGAUCGGCGAUUGGGACGAAGUCGUAACAAGGUAACC
rnacentral:rRNA from 1 species